rnacentral:sRNA from 1 species
AGGAGCGGAUCUUCCGCUAAAGUCAUGCACGUCCUGUGUAUAACGCGGAAGUCACCACAUCCUGUGGA